CGUUGCCAUGCAUCUGGCUCGAGUGUUCGGUAUCCCGUGAGAACGUGGAGGCUCAGGAAACCAGGCCUGGUAAACAGUGUCUUUUCAAUGAACCCACUGCUUCUUUUUCAUAUAGCAGUGAUUUGCUGAGUUUCUGAAGGGCGAGCACAGGUGGUGUGUGCGCCCCAGGCCGGCCCAGGACUGCGGCCACCCACAGGCCUGGGAUGACGCUCUGGCCUGCAGGGUGAGGUCCACGCAUGAGGACAGCCACGUGGGGCACGGAAUGGUGGCUGAGUACACUGGCUCAUGCUGUGGGGCAGACGGGGACAGUGGACUUGCCUGGAAGCACUGACCACAGGCUUCGCCACAUCCGCAGCAGCAACAUGCAGCGAUUGCUUUGUAGGCAGAGGGCUGCACCGUGGGCUGUGCUCAUGGAGCACUCUGGGUGGAGAAUAGCUCACACCACUCCAGGAGCAAAAUGGAAGAGAUUUCUACCCAGAAGUGCACUGUCAGAGCUACUGAAAUGUGUGCACAUUAAAUCGGGCUUUAUGCUACAUAAACGUGUUGCAUGAAGUUUCCUUUUUCCCCUAAA
rnacentral:lncRNA from 1 species